AAAAAGUGAAACAAAUGCUUCAAAACGGAUAUUGCAAGGAGUAGAAAUGUUUACAUAAGAAUCGAGUGUAAAAGUAGUGGUGUUGCAUCUUUUAUAUGCAUGGUUGUCCUGAAGUCAUUCUGGAACAGGGGUUGUGUUCAGGUGCAUGACAACUGACAACAUUGAGAAGACCCAGGAGCGGGAGAAGGGCAGCCUGAUGAAAGAAGGCGACAGUGUUCUGUGGUCACACCUGAGAUGAUGGUCCUGAAGAGGAACGAGAGGAGAUACUGGGCAUAUAAAUACAGGCACUGGUCAUCACAGUGGAGGACAAUCAUGAAAAGGUUGAGGACUUCACUGUGCCCAUCCCUGAAGUCCCUCCACUCGGUGCAGCAGCUCUUUCCACCAUACUGCCAUGCUCUGGGUUGUCCCUGCCACCAUCCACCUUUUGGGUCAUCCGUGCCGCCAGCCAUCACCGUGCCUGCAGCGCCUGGGUCAUCCGUGCCACUCCCCACCAUGCUGCCAGUCAUCACUGUGCCUGCAGCACCUGGGUCAUCCCUGCCACCAUCCACCGUGCCUUCAACGUCCACAGCACCUCCGGUCUCUGUGAGCCAGUUUGCAGCUCUACUGGCCUCUCCAGUAUAC